rnacentral:rRNA from 1 species
AGUCUGGUGCCAGCAGCCGCGGUAAUUCCAGCUCCAAUAGUGUAUACUAAAGUUGCUGCAGUUAAAAAGCUCGUAGUUGGAUUUCGGUUAAUGAAAAGUUAGUCCACUUAAUAUAUAAGUGCGUACUGACGUUUUAUUUCCUUCUUUUCAGAUAUACAACUUGUUGUGUUCUGAAUCUUUUACUUUGAGAAAAUUAGAGUGUUCAAAGCAGGCGUAACCAAGCCUUUGAAUAUAUUAGCAUGGGAUAAUGGAAUAAGACUUUUUGCCUUAUUUUCGUUGGUUCUUGAGGCUAAAGUAAUGAUUAAUAGGGAUAGUUGGGGUCAUUAGUAUUUAAUUGUCAGAGGUGAAAUUCUAAGAUUUAUUAAAGACUAACUACUGCGAAAGCAUUUGACAAGGAUGUUUUCAUUAAUCAAGAACGAAAGUUGGGGGAUCGAAGAUGAUCAGAUACCGUCGUAGUCUCAACCAUAAACUAUGCCGACCAAGGAUUCGGGGGUGUUAUAUGAAUGACCCUCCGGGCACUUAUAGAGAAAUCAUAAGUAUUUGGGUUCCGGGGGGAGUAUGGUCGCAAGGCUGAAACUUAAAGGAAUUGACGGAAGGGCACCACCAGGAGUGGAAUAUGCGGUUUAAUUUGACUCAACACGGGAAAACUUACCAGGUCCAGACACAGUGAGGAUUGACAGAUUGAGAGCUCUUUCUUGAUUUUGUGGGUGGUGGUGCAUGGCCGUUUCUAGUUGGUGGAGUGAUUUGUCUGGUUAAUUCCGUUAACGAACGAGACCUUAACCUAUUAAAUAGUUACACAUACUUGGGAUUCGUCCUAAUAGUAUGUGGUUAACUUCUUAGAGGGACUCUUCACGUAAAGAGUGAAUGGAAGUUUGAGGCAAAAACAGGUCUGUGAUGCCCUUAGAUGUUCUGGGCUACACGCGUGUUACACUGAUACAUUCAACAAGCAUUAUAAUUCCUUACCCGAUGGGGUUGGGUAAUCUUUUAAAUGUAUAUCGUGAUGGGGAUAGACCAUUGUAAUUAUUGGUCUUGAACGAGGAAUUCCUAGUAAGUGCAAGUCAUUAGCUUGCGCUGAUUACGUCCCCCCCUUUGUACACACCGCCCGUCGCUCCUACCGAUGAAUGGUCCGGUGAGGACUCAGGAUGACCGUGGAUUUUGGUAUAAUAUACCAUGCCAUUGUUUGUCAGAAUCUGUUCAAACCUUAUCAU